ACAUCCAGAGAACUUAGCAGAGAUGCUUUGGUGCCUUCGGGAACUCUGAGACAGGUGCUGCAUGGCUGUCGUCGGCUCGUGUUGUGAAAUGUUGGGUUAAGUCCCGCAACGAGCGCAACCCUUAUCCUUUGUUGCCAGCGGCUCGGCCGGGAACUCAAAGGAGACUGCCGGUGAUAAACCGGAGGAAGGUGGGGAUGACGUCAAGUCAUCAUGGCCCUUACGGCCAGGGCUACACACGUGCUACAAUGGCGCAUACAAAGAGAAGCGACCUCGCGAGAGCAAGCGGACCUCAUAAAGUGCGUCGUAGUCCGGAUUGGAGUCUGCAACUCGACUCCAUGAAGUCGGAAUCGCUAGUAAUCGUAGAUCAGAAUGCUACGGUGAAUACGUUCCCGGGCCUUGUACACACCGCCCGUCACACCAUGGGAGUGGGUUGCAAAAGAAGUAGGUAGCUUAACCUUCGGGAGGGCGCUUACCACUUUGUGAUUCAUGACUGGGGUGAAGUCGUAACAAGGUAAGCGUAGCGAG
rnacentral:rRNA from 1 species